rnacentral:lncRNA from 1 species
UAACGGCCCAGCCCAUGUGUGAUAUUGUCCGCUUUGGGCCACACAGACCCGCACGGUUUUGUUCUUGGGGGAAAUGGGAAACUUCCUAGGAGGUCACCCAUCCUAGGAUUUUCGUUAAGCGAGCACACUUAACCCUGGAGUUCUUCCAACUCUCCAGCCAUUCCACCACCAAAAGGCCUCACACAUGUUUUGAAACCGCCCACCUAUAGGUACAUCACUUCCCUCUCGCACUUAACCGAUGUGGGAUUCGCCUAAGGUGAGUGCACUGUGAGUGCACUGUCACUACAGCCACCGCUCACCCCCCUUUGGGGACUCAGCGUCCUCGCUGAGGUUUGCCCCACCACCGGCCAGAGGAGUGAGGCUUCGGCUCUGAUACCAAUUGUAACGGCCCAGCCCAUGUGUGAUAUUGUCCGCUCUGGGCCCUAC